CUUCAACUCUACAAUUUGUUUUGUAUUAUUUAUUGACUGUUGUGGAUAAUGAUAUUGUUAUCAUUUGUAUAUUUUUAAAUAUAAAAUUAUCAAGUUGUUAUACUUAAUUUUCUAUAUCUACUCUUGUUUUAAUCUCUUCACAUCUAAUAAGGAAAAUCACUUUUUCAAUUUCUAUACAUUGACAACUUCAAUUUACUUUUGAAUUUGAUAUCUUCUGCUCUUUAAGUUGAAUGACUGUUUUAGUAAGAAAAGCAGGCUGCUUGCCCUGGUACAAUGCAAGUCAUCAAAUGUGUACAUUUUACUUUAGAUGAUCAAUGAAAUGUUAUGUACAUACUUUAGACGGAAGAUAAGAUAUUCAAGAAUGUAAAAUUGUUUAUUAUUAUAAUAUAGAAACUGUUAAUAUAUAUUGUAAAAUUUGAAUUUCUAUCAUGAAAUUAUGCUAUCAGGAAAGACUCCUUUUGUCAAAGAUGAGAUUCCAAUGCAGCAGUGCUAUUUAGAUUUUGUUGUUAUAGACUUUACUAUUCCUGUAUUUAUUUCCCUGUUCUUGGUUGACAUGGAAUUUAGGUUGUAAAUAUUGAAAUAAUUCAUAAUGGGUAAAUAUUUCUUAAUUUUAUGAUUUUGUUUCUUGAACUAGUGGGAACAAAUACUAUUCAGGUUGGCAUUUCUUGAAGGAAAUGACUAUAGCCUGUGUCAGUGUUUUCUCAUCAAAGUUCUUGACCUUUUCACUCCACUGUCCUUUUGAAAAUAAGACUGUCAGCUGUUGCUUUUCAUCUGUUUGUGUAAUUGGUGGCAUGUUCUUUAUCAUUGUAACUAGUUCAAUAAUGCCUUCUUUUGUGAAAAGUGAAAUGAGCAUAGUAAUUUUUUCCCUCCAUAUUUGGGUACAAGACUCAAAGGUGAAAUAGUUUCAUGCAGUUGGCCAG
rnacentral:misc_RNA from 1 species